AUACGUAGGUGGCAAGCGUUAUCCGGAUUUACUGGGUGUAAAGGGCGUGUAGGCGGUUUAGCAAGUCAGAAGUGAAAUUCCCGGGCUUAACUUGGGCGCUGCUUCUGAAACUGCUUUACUUGAGUGCUGGAGAGGAUAGUGGAAUUCCUAGUGUAGCGGUAAAAUGCGCAGAUAUUAGGAGGAACACCGGUGGCGAAGGCGGCUAUCUGGACAGUAACUGACGCUGAGGCGCGAAAGCACGGGGAGCAAACAGGAUUAGAUACCCUGGUAGUCCGUGCCGAAAACGAUGAAUACUAGGUGUAGGGGGUAUCGACUCCCUCUGUGCCGCAGUUAACACAAUAAGUAUUCCGCCUGGGGAGUACGGCCGCAAGGUUGAAACUUAAAGGAAUUGACGGGG
rnacentral:rRNA from 1 species